GAUGAAGAACGCAGCAAAAUGCGAUAAGUAAUGUGAAUUGCAGAAUUCAGUGAAUCAUCGAAUCUUUGAACGCACCUUGCGCCCUUUGGCCAUUCCGAAGGGCAUGCCUGUUUGAGUAUCAUGAACACCUCAACUCUUCAUGGUUUUCCAUGAUGAGCUUGGACUUUGGGGGUCUUGCUGGCCUGUGGGUCGGCUCCUCUCAAAUGAAUCAGCUUGCCGGUUUUUGGUGGGCAUCACAGGUGUGAUAACUAUCUACGCUUGUGGUUUUCCACCAGGGUAACCUUCAGCAGUGGAGGUUCACUGGAGCUUACAAAUGUCUCUCCUCUGUGAGGACAGCCCUUUGAAUGUUUGAUCUCAAAUCAGGUAGGACUACCCGCUGAACUUAAGCAUAUCAAUAAGCGGAGGA
rnacentral:misc_RNA from 1 species